rnacentral:lncRNA from 1 species
CUAAGUCGCAUAAAUAUGCUUCUAUCAGUAGGUCUAGUUAGGGGGGUAGUAAUAUGGGUUGUUAGGUCUUAAUGUAGUUGGAAGUAAAGUGUCAUUGUUUGCUUUACUGCUGUGAAAUGUUGAAAUUUUAUUUGGCUUAUGUGGUACAUAUUACUUGUGUUGUGAUUACUCAGUAGAAGUGGAAGACCCGUAUUAAAAAAAUAAUAAUGAUAAAAAAAAAUCUUUAAUUGGUUAGUGUUUUCUUCACCAGUGUGUCCAACUAUACUAUAGUUUUCCUAACUGUCGAGUGAUGGACAUGGUUUUGGUUUAGAAUUAAAUUGAAAUGUUGAGAUGAUUGUAAAAGAAAAAGCUGGCAAUCUGCGUGAUAUUCUACCUACUUAAGUAGUUGACCGCUACUGCAUUCAAAUGAGUGAGUAAGCUAUCUGUUAGCUUGAGUUCGUGCUAAUCAAGUUGGAAGCUGGAAUGGGUUUGCCACAAGGUGGAAUAGGUGUCACACCACUAAAUCCAAAGCGAUUUGGCUUUACACGUUGCUCUUUGUAGGAAAGAUCUUAUUCCGUUCUGGUAAGUCUAUCCAUUCCACUCUCGCAUUUCCCCUAGUAUAAAUAAAGACCAGGGUUUCAACUGCAUGCUAAACUCAGAAACAGAGAGAGAGGUUUCAUCGAAAUCUAUGGCGUCUAAAUCAUGAAACAAUCACGAAUACAUAUGUUGUAAACCUGUAGCUCACAAAGCUUUGGUAAUUAUUUUCAUAUCCCCUGUAUUUUGUUAGUGGCUAUACUAUGACUUUCUUAAUAUGUUGUUAAUGUUAUGCAGUAUUGUGAUUGACAACUUAAUUUUUACAAAUGUUUCUUUCCACAUCUUAAUCCAUUUGGUUUUAUGCACUACAUAUUUGUGUUGACAGUUUUCAUACGAAAGCUGAAAGGGUUGUGUGAUAUCAAUUGAUCUAUCAACUGAUUCAUUUUAAAAAGAAAAUCUAUUUUGACAUAAUACCCUUGAUAAGUUUAUGAAAUAUCCCCAGUUUUUCCCUACAUUUUCUAUAGCUAUUUUCAUGUCUAUCCAUCAUGUUGUUUUUAAUUUUAUAUAAUGGUUUAUCUGUCAUGGAUUUGUGAGCUUCCAUGUUAGUUAUCAAGCUGCAUACAUUUAUGCUAUAUAUGGUUUCAAUUAUAUAUGAAGUAAAGCAUGUAUUUAGUGCUGGAAAUGAUUAUAUAUGUUGGAUAUACAUACAUACGCAUGUACGUAUAUAUACAUAUGUGUUUCAUUAGAGGCAUUUCUAUGGUAAUGUUCCUUUUGUUAUGAGUAUUUUGUUUUAGAUUAACCAAAAUAACUUUUCAAUUGAGUACUGUACUUCAUUUCACUGGUUGAUUACCAUUGUUUCCGUCAUGUUAGUUCGUUGGGAUUCAACCAAUUAGCUGGAGUACGAGAUUACCAAUCAUCAUUGUCUUUAGGUAGUGCAUGGUGUUCAAUGAUCUCAUGACUCCUAUGGUGGUGGUUACUAAAUUAAACCAUAUCUUGAGAUAAAGUGUAUGAAUACUCGUACUAAUCUAUUUGCUUGGUUCGCAAACAUCACCUCUCUUAUGAGAUGGACUAUCUUGAAGUUUUUGGUUGAAGAUUGUCCUAGAAUUAAGAGUUAAAGGUUGUCUGAGAUACAAGUGACUCUCUUAAAUGUAGGUUCAAAGUCAGAGUUUGGACUACUGGAAGUAGUCAUUUAUUCGAUAAAGUUUCGUUGAAGAAACAAAUUCACAUGUGAUCCAUGUUAUUCAUUGAAUUUUCAUGGAUUAAUUCUAUGGUGGUGAUUGGAGCACAAGUUUCUGUUAGGGUCCAUUAGAUGACUUAGGAGUAUUUCUAUGUUUGCAUAGUUUUGCAAACACCACAUUUCUUUCAGAAAAGAAUUAGUUGGGAACCGUCCUAAAUUUAUAAGAUGGGGGAUGUCUUAGAACUUUGAUGUAAGAGACUCUCUUAGACAGGAGUUUAAAAUUAAGGUUUAGAUUUACUGAAGUAUUUAUUAGUUCGAUUAUGUUAAGGAGAGGAAACCAACUCACAUGUGACUCACUCCUACUCAGAAAGGUAAUAGUUAAGUGACAUUCUCAUUCCUACAUGAGUUGGUAUUAUAUACAUGGUGAUUCAUUCCUAUACAACUGGGGUUGUAUGAUGAACUACUUUGUUUAUACCAUAUUUAGGGCCUCCGUAUUUAGAUCUCGUACAAAUACUCGGGGGACUUAAAUGUAAUUAUGUAAUAAAGGAAUAAGCAAAUAUGUAAUAAGUGAGGAGCCCUUAUUUAAUAAAAGGACCCAUCACCCUCACAAUUAGAAGAGGCCAAUUCCUAGGCCCUCUCAUCCUCAGAAGCUCUCUCUCACAAUCCUUUCAGAAAUACAAUAAUCAGUGUGGACGUAGCCCAAACAUUGGGGUGAACCACGAUACAUCUUGUGUUAUUUACACUUUCUUGCAGAUUCACAGUCGGAUUUACGUUGUUCCAAGACCUCCGGUUUUGUGCAUCAACAUUUGGCGCCUUCUGUGGGAAUCGAUACGAAAAUUUGUGUCGGUUCUCUUUCAUUUUUUCACCUCCACCAUGAAUCUGCAAAAUCUGGAAGAACCCAAAAACCUCACUCUUUGAGCUUUUCCAAAAAAAAAAAAAAACUGUCGCAGACCUCCAACCACCUCUCUCUCCUCUCUCAGCCAGUUACACACUGAAACCAAAAACAAAGAAAGAAACAAAUCCACUCAAUAAAUGUGAAAAAUCGCCAUGAAAAUGAAGGCAAAGAGCUCCAGAGCAAAGUUGGGCUUACCCACCGUCUUCCUCCUCUGCUCCCUCUUCUUCUUCGCCGGUUUAUUCAUCUCCACCCUCCUCUCCCAUGCCUCCGUCCCUCGCUUAAUCUCCAGAACUCUGGAAUCCG